UACGUAGGGUGCAGGCGUUAAUCGGAAUUACUGGGCGUAAAGCGUGCGUAGGCGGUUUGUUAAGACAGGUGUGAAAUCCCCGGGCUUAACCUGGGAACUGCGCUUGUUACUGGCAGACUGGAGUGUGGCAGAGGGGGGUGGAAUUCCAGGUGUAGCAGUGGAAAUGCGUAGAUAUCUGGAGGAACACCGAUGGCGAAGGCAGCCCCCUGGGCUAACACUGACGCUGAUGCAC
rnacentral:rRNA from 1 species